rnacentral:ncRNA from 1 species
UGAAAAAGGCAAAGUGACCCGAAAGGGCGCGACGCAAAGCUACCGGUCUAAGGGAGAUUUCCUAUGACAGCGGGGCUGCC